AGAGUUUGAUCCUGGCUCAGGACGAACGCUGGCGGCAUGCCUAACACAUGCAAGUCGAACGAGACCUUCGGGUCUAGUGGCGCACGGGUGCGUAACGCGUGGGAAUCUGCCCUCUGGUACGGAAUAACUCAGGGAAACUUGAGCUAAUACCGUAUAAUGACUUCGGUCCAAAGAUUUAUCGCCUGAGGAUGAGCCCGCGUAGGAUUAGCUUGUUGGUGAGGUAAAAGCUCACCAAGGCGACGAUCCUUAGCUGGUCUGAGAGGAUGAUCAGCCACACUGGGACUGAGACACGGCCCAGACUCCUACGGGAGGCAGCAGUGGGGAAUAUUGGACAAUGGGCGAAAGCCUGAUCCAGCAAUGCCGCGUGAGUGAUGAAGGCCUUAGGG
rnacentral:rRNA from 1 species